GCCUCUGUAGUGAAAUGGAUAUCACGCAACGCUUCGAACGUUGUAUUCCGGGUUCGAAUCCUGGCGGAGGCACAA
rnacentral:tRNA from 1 species